AGGAGCAACAGCCCCAGUGGCGGGGCAGCUCGGGAAUUCAGCUCCCGAAGCUGGAUUCAGCUGGAUUCAGCUCCGGCAGGAACUCCGUCUGCAGGGCCUGGAGGCUCCGGGGCGGG
rnacentral:pre_miRNA from 1 species